UUAAUUGAGAAACGCCGCCGUUUAGAGGAAAAAGUCCCCUCGAUCUCUUUUAAUGACAGUUUUACCCUGACGGAGCUGGCUCACCGGUCACCGUCACUGUCCGUCCAAAAAUGGCGUCAAGACUAGCGAUGCUGAAACGCUCCGCCGCAGUCGAAUACGGUUCUGUUUUGGGGCUGCGGAGAUGGGUUCAUGCUUCAGCACUCCCUCCACCCCAUCAGUCAACCCCACCGUCGCAGCCGUUGGUUUUAUCCGAGUCCGAUCAAAUCCCAGACAGCAAUAUUAACGACUUCGGGUUUGGUUCCCGAUUUUCCUUUUUGGAGGAUCUAUGGAGCUCAUAGCUGUCCCAAAGAGAAAAUUGAGUCGCCAUAAGAGAGGCAUAAGAAAUGGACCCAAGGGUUUGAAACCCUUUCCGGUCAUUAUUAGAUGCAAGAGCUGCGGUCACCGCACUUUUUUUGUUGCAGUGGAGCUCAGGGACGGAACAGCGAACAUGGUGAUUCGCCCGGUUAAGUAUGUU